rnacentral:rRNA from 1 species
GACGGAGGGGGCUAGCGUUGUUCGGAAUUACUGGGCGUAAAGAGCGUGUAGGCGGCUUUGUAAGUUAGGAGUGAAAGCCCAAAGCUCAACUUUGGAAUUGCUCUUAAGACUACUAACCUAGAGUACGAUAGAGGGUGAUGGAAUUCCUAGUGUAGAGGUGAAAUUCUUAGAUAUUAGGAGGAACACCGAAGGCGAAAGCAAUCACCUGGGUCGAUACUGACGCUGAGACGCGAAAGCGUGGGGAGCAAACAGG